GUCCUCCCGUGCGUUCCUCUUCAAUCGUAGGCGCAAGGGCGACUUUAGCCUUGGCCGUCCCCGUUGGUUUCCUGUGUUGCAUACCUACAUCGAUGGAAUUCGUUGGCCAAUUUUUCCCUCGUUCGUCCAGCGCUGCACGUCGCGGCUACGGGCGAACCUCGAAGCGUCGCACGUGUUCCGCAUCGCCCACGCAUGGCGUGGGCGUUGCGGCCCACGAGUGUUCGCUCGACCUCUGGGAUGCGGAAAACGCUGGGGGCGCGAUGUCAUUGACCUCUAUUUGCCCACAAAUUGGCGUCACACGCCACGUUCGAACGACGUUCGGCGUCCCACUGACGAUGCGCGUCUUGCGACCCGACGUCCACGAGGAAUGCUACCUGGUUGAUCCUGCC
rnacentral:misc_RNA from 1 species